GCAAAACUGCACUAUCCUUUCUAUACAAAGAGGCCAACUCUGCAAACACUCUAACUUGUCUCCGUAAACUGGGUCUUCAAGAACAUGGUCUGCUAACUUUGCCCGGUCCUCGAAGUCGCCCGCACGGAGGUUCUCGGAAACACAUUUGAGCUUGGUGCAGCGGAGAAGCACCACCAAAAGCACAGCCACAGGUGCCUUGUUACUUCGUUUUUGGAGCUUCGUAUUACGACGAUGGCAACAAUAACCGUCUUUUGACCCUCGCUAAAUCCAAUUAUCCUCCUUAUGGAAUUGAUUUUCUUCAAGGCCCCACUGGAAGAUUUACAAAUGGUCGCACCACUGCUGAUUUUUUAGCUGAAUUUCUUGGAUUCAGCCACUUCAUUCCAUCCUUUGCAAGCCAAAGUAAUCGGAAAUGCAAUAAGGACAUUCUCCAAGGCAUAAAUUAUGCCUCUGGCUCAUCUGGGAUUCUUAAGGAAACUGGGAGGCACGUGGUAUUUAUAACACAUUAAUUAAUUUAAUUCUCAUCUUUUUGUUAGCAAAGUGUUAGCGUUAUGCUCUUGAUACAUCUACGUCAACGAAUUUUAUCAUUUAAUAUGUAUUAAUAAUUUGAAUUUUUUUACUUAGACUUGGACCGGAGACACAAACAAUUUCUCUUGAAAAUUAAAUUCAUAUAAAUUGUCAGUUGAAAUCUAUUUACUAUAGCUCUUUUUCCUAAUUUGAUAUUGUAUAUAAAAAAAUAAAAAGAUCAACUAAAUUGUGAUCAGGGUGCUCGAAUCGGAAUGGACGGGCAGCUCCAAAAUCACAAAACUAUAAUCUCGCGCAUCUCCACGCUGUUAGGAAACACGACCGAUUCAUACCUUAACAGUUGCUUAUAUACAGUUGCAAUGGGCGACAACGACUAUAUCGGCAACUAUUUUCUGCCACUAUUUUAUAAUACAAGCCGCCAUUAUUCUCCUCAGCAGUAUGCUUUUCGUCUUCUUGAACAAUACUCUAAACAAUUAACGGUUAGUACUGAUGAUCGCGUUAUAUGGUAUAGAAUUAAUUAGUUGCUUAAAAUAGUUAAAAAAUUUUCAGAGUCUCCACGAGCUUGGAGCCAGGAAGAUAGCAUUGUUUGGAAUACCUCCGCUUGACUGUUCUCCUGAUGCCAACUCCAAACAUUUUGCUGCCAAAAACUAUUCUGAAUGUGUAGGUGAAAAGACCCAUGCAAUUGGCCUUUUCAACGCCGGGCUUAAAGGACUCGUUGAUCAACUUAAUAAAGAUCUAAGAGAUGCCAGAUUUAUGUUAGUGGACGCCUAUGGGAUAUCUAGAUCUUCAGUAUCCAAAUUUAAGGUGACAGAUGCGGCUUGUUGCAAAACAGAGCCAAGAGUGGGUCUUUCCAUAUGUAUUCCUCGUGUUGAUCCUUGUGCCGAGAGAAACGACUACAUGUGGUGGGAUGCGGUUCAUCAGACGGAGGCUGCCUAUAGGAUCAAUGCCCAAAGAGCUUUCAAGGCUCAAUCUCCUACCGAUACCUACCCAGUUGACAUUACUCAAUUACUUCAAUUAUAGGUCUAGCUCCCUUUAUCAUUAUUAUUAUUUUCCCUAAAGAUAGAAUUCAUUAAAAGCCUCUAAUUAAGCAUGAAAAAAAAUUACAAAGUUGAUUUAUAUCUAAGGAUUACAAAUAAGCAACGCUUUUGCCUGCCAGGCUAUGAGGUAGCUAGAUGUAUUAUCAGAUUUCCAGAUUAAUCAUUGUUGUUGCUUUUCUUAGCCAUUUUCCAAUUGAAGCAGAAGCAUGCCACAACAUCUUUUUUAACUCUAGCUCUAUGUAGCGAUUUCUGGUUCCUUUUGUUAGGAAAUUUCCUUGUUGCUUCGUUCUCAUCUAUAUCUAUAUUGAAUAUUGAUACGUAGCUAAUAUAUUUCUAUGUUGAAGUUGGAUUGCGAAAUGGAUCCAAUGCAGCAAUUGUAACGCUUGUUCCUCUUUGCAUUCCUUGAUGGAAAACAGUGAUUUAUAUAUUUUUGAAUUAUUUUGGCAUAUUAAAUGUAUGCAAUAA
rnacentral:misc_RNA from 1 species